rnacentral:rRNA from 1 species
AUACGGAGGAUCCGAGCGUUAUCCGGAUUUAUUGGGUUUAAAGGGAGCGUAGGUGGAUUGUUAAGUCAGCUGUGAAAGUUUGCGGCUCAACCGUAAAAUUGCAGUUGAAACUGGCAGUCUUGAGUACAGUAGAGGUGGGCGGAAUUCGUGGCGUAGCGGUGAAAUGCUUAGAUAUCACGAAGAACUCCGAUUGCGAAGGCAGCUCACUAGACUGUUACUGACACUGAUGCUCGAAAGUGUGGGUAUCAAACAGGAUUAGAUACCCUGGUAGUCCACACAGUAAACGAUGAAUACUCGCUGUUUGCGAUAUACAGUAAGCGGCCAAGCGAAAGCAUUAAGUAUUCCACCUGGGGAGUACGCCGGCAACGGUGAAACUCAAAGGAAUUGACGGGG